rnacentral:tRNA from 1 species
GCCUAGGUAGCGCAGUAGGCUAGCGCGUCAGUCUCAUAAUCUGAAAGUUGUGAGUUUGACCCUCACAUUUUGCA